rnacentral:rRNA from 1 species
UACGUAGGGCGCAAGCGUUAUCCGGAAUUAUUGGGCGUAAAGAGCUCGUAGGCGGUUUGUCGCGUCUGCCGUGAAAGUCCGGGGCUCAACUCCGGAUCUGCGGUGGGUACGGGCAGACUAGAGUGCAGUAGGGGAGACCGGAAUUCCUGGUGUAGCGGUGAAAUGCGCAGAUAUCAGGAGGAACACCGAUGGCGAAGGCAGGUCUCUGGGCUGUAACUGACGCUGAGGAGCGAAAGCAUGGGGAGCGAACAGG